rnacentral:rRNA from 1 species
CCUACGGGCGGCUGCAGUGAGGAAUAUUGGGCAAUGGGCGAAAGCCUGACCCAGCAACGCCGCGUGGAGGAUGAAGGCUUUAGGGUUGUAAACUCCUUUUGUGGGGGAAAAGAAUGGAUGGUACCCCAAGAAUAAGUCACGGCUAACUACGUGCCAGCAGCCGCGGUAAUACGUAGGUGACAAGCGUUAUCCGGAAUUACUGGGCGUAAAGCGCACGCAGGCGGUCAGAUAAGUCUGAUGUGAAACCUUCUGGCUUAACCAGAAGACGUCGUUGGAUACUGUUUGACUUGAGGCGAUGAGAGGAAUGCGGAAUCCCCGGUGUAAUGGUGGAAUAUGUAGAUAUCGGGGGGAACAUCUGAGGCGAAAGCGGCAUUCUGGCAUUAGCCUGACGCUCAUGUGCGAAAGCGUGGGGAGCAAACGGGAUUAGAUACCCCAGUAGUC